GUUCCCGUAGUGUAGUGGUUAGCACGCAGGAUUUUGAUUCCUGAGACGCGAGUUCAAUUCUCGCCGGGAGCU
rnacentral:tRNA from 1 species